rnacentral:rRNA from 1 species
CCUACGGGAGGCAGCAGUGAGGAAUAUUGGUCAAUGGACGGAAGUCUGAACCAGCCAUGCCGCGUGCAGGAAGACGGCUCUAUGAGUUGUAAACUGCUUUUGUACAAGGGUAAACCUGAAUACGUGUAUUCAGCUGAAAGUACUGUACGAAUAAGGAUCGGCUAACUCCGUGCCAGCAGCCGCGGUAAUACGGAGGAUCCAAGCGUUAUCCGGAUUUAUUGGGUUGAAAGGGUGCGUUGGCGGAUUGAUAAGUUAGAGGUGAAAUGUCCGAGCUUAACUCGGGAACUGCCGCCAAUACUGGUGAUCGAGAGAGUAGAUGCGGUAGGCGGAAUGUAUGGUGUAGCGGUGAAAUGCUUAGAGAUCAUACAGAACACCGAUUGCGAAGGCAGCUUACCAAUCUAUAUCUGACGUUGAGGCACGAAAGCGUGGGGAGCAAACAGGAUUAGAUACCCUAGUAGUC